GCUGGAGCACGUACAGCCUCCUGAAGCCGCUCUGGCUCUGCUGCUGCUCCGCUGACACACAUACCGGGGAGAGAAAUAAACCGAAGGAAACACGGAGGGUCUCCGAGCUGCUGCGGCUUCCUGUGAGCAGUACUUGACUUGGUCGCCAGUCAGAAGAGCCUGAACUCCAGGAAAGUUUCUCUGUUGGAGGUGAACAGUGUCAGCGCCAGCAGCCUGCCUCCAGACGUGACGUCAGGAGGGGGAGUCUACACACUAACCCCAAGAACGUUUGCUGGGAGUUUCUUGGGGCCCAAGGGUGUCAGGGGACCCAAACCAAAGCCCCCACCCACGCACUCGCUCACUGACUGACCCACCCCAACACCCACACAUCCCACACAUUCUCCAGUGAGGUUUCUGUAAGCGGAUACUGACUUCCAGUUUAAAUGAGUAAACUAAAAUAUAUAAGCAGACUGGGUUUAGUUCCACAAAUAUCACAAGUAGCCUAUGUUGGUAAUCAUCCCAGGAAAUGUUUGCUGAUAAUUGCUGAUAAUUGCUUCAUUAUCUCUCAGCUCACCAUGUUAUUAUCCUCUUAUCUUGAGAUAUCAAAGUGUUAUCAUAUGUUCACAGCUUCAACUUAUCUCAUUAUCUCAACAUAAAAAUGUAUUAAUGAGCACCAUUUAAGGAGUCCAAGAUAAUUUAACAUAAGUUAACCAACAUUGUUUUCUUGUGACAACUUUAUUUCAGGAGAAUGUGAGUCACGCCUCCCACUGAGUUUUGAGAGAAGGGAGCACCCAAAGCAAAAAUGCAAGAGGAUAAAUAACUAUUACAUGUGACAACCACUUAUAUCCAACACAAUUAAGUGAUAGCCACGCUAAAACAAUUGAAUAUCUCAAGAUAAGAAGACAAUUAAAAGUUAUUAUAAGAGCAUAUCUGAAUAAUGGCCUCAGAUCAUAAAUAUGGGCCCAUAAAGUAACAUUCACAGGAAUAGACCCUUCUCAUAGAUGACAUUUUGGCUUGUCAGAGCAGGAAAAGCACAGGUGGAAUUAAUAACAUGAAUGAUGGCUGUAUUCUAUUUAGGUGAAGCAGUUCUCCAGUGCUGUGCAUGCUCACUGACAUGGCUUACUGGGACAGUUGAUGGAAUGGAGCCAUUGUUAAUGUUAUUAUUUACACCUGUGCUUUUCCUGCUCUGACAGGUCAAAGCGUCUGCUGUGAAAAGAGUCUGUUGACCAUAAAUAAUUACCAUGACUGGCCUCCAGAUCACACACACACCAUACUUAUCAUAACAGUUAAUAGAUUUUUAUGGAGAUAUGGAGACGAGUCCCUCUAUUUAGCAUUUACAAGCAGGAUAUAAACAGUUAAUAAAUGAUUUAUAACACACUAUAACGUAGUUGUAACAGAUAUAACUGUUUAUUAAUGCUUUUGUCAACAACUAUAAGUCUUCCUGUGGGCUUCUGUAUGAACAGGUCAUGAAUGACAAUAUAGUAAAACACAGUUUUAAUCAUAUAAAGUUUGUCUUCAUGUAAGAAAUUGUAAUUGUUGUCAUAAACCAUUUAUUAAAUAUGUUUAUACUGCUUAUGUUAAAUAGGGGGGCUUACAGUAAAGUGUUACCGUUAUGUUUUGAUGCUUAUAUUAACAGUUAUAUAAUCCUAUUUAUUAAACACUGUUCAUAUUUAUGUCUCAAAACUAUUAUGCCAAGAUAAUGAUUUCAUUGGCCUAUGAUGUUGUCGGCAGAGCUUUUUUGAUUGGUCUAAAAUUACGACAAAUUUUGAGGGUGAAUCAACAACAUCAUAUGUGUUGCGUGGGAACGGAAAUCUUAACAGCAAUAGCAACAGUAAAUUGCACUAUAGCUGUAAUCUGUGUAGUAUCCUUCUCCAAAACAGUAAUAAAGAUGUUUUUUUAAGUUCAA